CGCGGACUUCGGUCUGGCGACGAGUGGCGAACGGGUGAGUAAUAUAUCGGAACGUACCUAGUAAUGGGGAACAACCAGCCGAAAGGUUGGCUAAUACCGCAUACGAUCUACGGAUGAAAGCGGGGGAUCGCAAGACCUCGCGCGAUUGGAGCGGCCGAUAUCUGAUUAGGUAGUUGGUGGGGUAAUGGCCUACCAAGCCGACGAUCCAUAGCUGGUUUGAGAGGACGACCAGCCACACUGGAACUGAGACACGGUCCAGACUCC
rnacentral:rRNA from 1 species